rnacentral:siRNA from 1 species
UAGGACGGAUAACAAAUCGUUGC